UGGGCCUGGAUACUCAUUACCAAAAUUUUGCCCACGACCUUGCCUCGCUCGCAGGACCGAGGCUUGAUAAUUCCUGGAAAGAGUCCUGGGACGCAUCCAGGAAUAUUAAAGGUAUUAAUCUUGUAAAUAUCUCUAAAUCACCACCGUAAAGACAGUUAAAAACAUUGUGUGUAUCUCAACACUAUCGUAAUUGGCCGGAUUUGUUGUGUUAGUCACACACGACAUAUAGCCACAAACAAGAUUGAAUUGA